GAUUUGUCUGGUUAAUUCCGAUAACGAACGAGACCUUAACCUGCUAACUAGUCGCUUUUAUUUCGAUAAUUGUUGACUUCUUAGAGGGACUAUGUGCUUUAAGUACAUGGAAGUUUGAAGCAAUAACAGGUCUGUGAUGCCCUUAUAUGUCCUGGGCUGCACGCGUGCUACACUGAUGCAUACAAUAAGUGCCUAGUCAGCCAUGGCAUGGCAAUCUCUAAUAUGCAUCGUGAUGGGGAUAGAUCUUUGCAAUUAUAGAUCUUGAACGAGGAAUUCCUAGUAAGUGCAAGUCAUCAUCUUGCAUUGAUUAUGUCCCUGCCCUUUGUACACACCGCCCGUCGCUCCUACCGAUACCGGGUGGUUCGGUGAACCUUUUGGACCUCGAAAGAGGAAAGAUAAGUAAAUCAUAUCACCUAGAGGAAGGAGAAGUCGUAACAAGGUUUCCGUAGGUGAACCUGCRGAAGGAUCA
rnacentral:rRNA from 1 species